GCUGGUAUUUUUCUUAGUAGUCCUUCUUGCUCCUCUCUUUCUAUUGGUAGGAUUCAUCGAGACUUCAUUCUCUCUGUUGCUCAUUAUCACUUAGAUAAAAAAAAUACUAACAUUAAUUAACUUUCUUAAAUGAGUAACAGAAACUCUAAGAAAACUUGUUUAUUCUUAUUUAGUUAAAUAUGAUCUAGCUAAAUGAGACCUAUCUACCUAUUGUUAGACUUUAAGUUUACCCAUGAUCAAACCUAUUACUCUGAUA
rnacentral:lncRNA from 1 species